GACGCACGCUGGCGGCGUGCUUAACACAUGCAAGUCGAGCGGAGCGGCGAACGGGGGAGUAACGCGUUAGUAACUGCCCUCUUCUUUGGGAUAACCGAUGGCAACGGCUACCAAUAGCGGAUAGUGGGGGGUGACUCGCGUCCUAUCCGCUUGUGUGUGGGGUCGUGGCCUACCAAGGCGACGACGGGUAGUCGGCCUGGGAGGGCGACCGGCCCAAUGGGGCUGAGAUACGGCCCAAACUGCUACGGGGGGCAGCAGUGGUGAAUAUUGCGCAAUGGGGGAGACCCUGAUGCAGCAACCGGCGUGCGUGAUGACGGCCUUGGUGAUGGAAAGCGCUUGCAUCCAUGACGCGGUAGUGGCAGAAGAAGCACCGGCUAACUACGUGCCAGCCGCCGCGGUAAUAC
rnacentral:rRNA from 1 species